UACGGAGGGUGCGAGCGUUGUCCGGAAUCACUGGGCGUAAAGGGCGCGUAGGCGGUGUGUCACGUCGGCCGUGAAAACCUGCAGCUUAACUGUGGGCGUGCGGUCGAUACGGGCAUCACUGGAGUUCGGCAGGGGAGACUGGAAUUCCUGGUGUAGCGGUGAAAUGCGCAGAUAUCAGGAGGAACACCUGCGGCGAAGGCGGGUUGCUGGGCCGACACUGACGCUGAUGCGCGAAAGCCAGGGGAGCGAACGGG
rnacentral:rRNA from 1 species